rnacentral:misc_RNA from 1 species
CCUUGUGGAGGAGGACGCCGAAGGUGGGGCUAAUGACUGGGGUGAAGUCGUAACAAGGUAGCCGUACCGGAAGGUGCGGCUGGAUCACCUCCUAACAGGGAGACAACAAAAUGUUUAAUAUUAUUAUUUUGUCACCUUAGGUCGAUCGGUAUCUCACGUUCUUAAUUUAUUAAGAAUUUCAAUUCCUAAGUUUUUCUAGGUCACACCCAUUAUUUUUCCUGGGCCAUUAGCUCAGGUGGUUAGAGCGCACCCCUGAUAAGGGUGAGGUCCCUGGUUCAAGUCCAGGAUGGCCCAUAUCUCUAUGUUGGGGGUAUAGCUCAGUUGGUAGAGCGCCUGCUUUGCAAGCAGGAUGUCAGCGGUUCGAGUCCGCUUACCUCCACUGAUUACCACCUCUUCCAUAGUUUGGAGAAAGGAAAUGUUUUGAGAUGUGAUCAAAUUCUGAACGAAUCUAGCUUCCUAAUAAAAUUAUUAAGAUGCUGGACUCAUUGAAUUAAUUUCAUUGUUUUCAGAGAACCUUGACAACUGCAUAGAUUAUUUUUAAAGACAAUAAGCAUCUUUUAAUGAUGCAGAUUUAUUAUUUGUGCAAAUGCAUUAAUAACAAUUCUAUUAAGCUGAUGCUUCAAUUAUGAAGUUAUUGGUCAAGCUACAAAGGGCUCACGGAGGAUACCUAGGCACACAGAGGCGAUG